UUUUAUCAGUAGCAUCAUUUUUGGUACUAAAUAUUUGGAACUAAAUUAACAUAUAGAAAAAUUAGUGAGCCAUUUAGUUGUUUAAUAAGAAAAUUGGACAUUUUCAGGCUUCAUCCUCUAUUUGAAUUUCAAUGGAUAUUUUGAGAGAAAUCUCUGGUUUUAAUUUUAAUUUUUACAGUCGUAGAGCUAAUGAACAACAAAAAGAUCAACUUUGGCUGCUGCAACUGGACAAGAGACGCUAUGAAAUGGCGACAACGAUUUGAGGCAGCAGAUGUCACAUGGGUGUCAAGAACAAACAAUGGACCAGCGGAUCUUCUUGCAAAACAUCGGCUACCAGAUAAUUGUUCGUUUCAAUAUCACUAUUAUGUUCCACCUUUCAUUGUAUCAGCCUUACAUUGUAAUCACUCUUGACUUGAUUAAUUGAAAAAAGUCGAUAAAAA
rnacentral:sRNA from 1 species